UACAGAGGGGGCAAGCGUUGCUCGGAAUUACUGGGCGUAAAGCGUGCGCAGGCGGCUUUGCAAGACAGAUGUGAAAUCCCCGGGCUUAACCUGGGAACUGCAUUUGUGACUGCAUGGCUAGAGUGCGGGAGAGGGUGAUGGAAUUCCGCGUGUAGCAGUGAAAUGCGUAGAUAUGCGGAGGAACACCGAUGGCGAAGGCAAUCCCCUGGGCCUGCACUGACGCUCAUGCACGAAAGCGUGGGGAGCAAACAGG
rnacentral:rRNA from 1 species